rnacentral:rRNA from 1 species
AAACCGGAGCUAAUACGGAUAAUAUAUUGAACCGCAUGGUUCAAUAGUGAAAGACGGUUUGCUGUCACUUAUAGAUGGAUCCGCGCCGCAUUAGCUAGUUGGUAAGGUAACGGCUUACCAAGGCAACGAUGCGUAGCCGACCUGAGAGGGUGAUCGGCCACACUGGAACUGAGACACGGUCCAGACUCCUACGGGAGGCAGCAGAA